UGGCAACGUGGUGGGCACAUAGGUCUGUGGACCAUGAACCAGCUAAGCCUCCAUAUUCUCAAUAAAAAAAUCUAGCUUUCUUCCAACAAAAAUGAAAGGAAAAAAAAGUGGUUAACAUGAUUUGUACACAGGCACAGGCACAGCUCAACUAAGCUUCCAUCAUGUUCUGAAUAUCUUGACCUUUCAACCACAAGCAACGAAUUAAUAUAGAAGAAAAAAAAAAGGUUUUGCUCAAAGCAUGGUCGCUUCUGCGAUGUUGCAGAUCAGAUCCCAUUCGAUGAAAGGGAGAGAUUAAUUGUCGUGAGAGAUUCACUAAAGGGUGUUGAAGACAAUCUCUUCUUUUUACAGAAAUUAGAGUGUUGUCAAAUGAGGGAUAGAGAUGAGGCUCUUAGUCGUUUAGAAGAAAGUAGAAUGGUUUUAAUAGACUUAGUGAGGCGAUUUCAAGGAAAGACAUCACCAGAUGUGUUGAGAGAAUUGAAUGCAUGUUUCGGCAAAGCUGUUAUUCAAAACUUAUUAAGAGAUGGUGAAAAGGAGGAGGAGGAGGAGCCUAACAUUUUGCAAAACAGAAGGUGGAUAUGGCCAAAAGCUUUAGGAAAUAUUGUUCUCAAACUUCUAAUCUUCUCAGCAACCGCAAGCAUAUCAUAUAUGGUCUCUAAUUGUACUCGAAAUCAAACCAAGCAUUUGUACUCUGUUUCGACAAGAAAAACUCCUCCGUUUUUGGAUUCAACUGAAGGAGAAAUCAACCAUAAUUUAUUCAAUGUGUUUCAUGGCAAGGGGUGAUCAUCAAUAUACACUUUUUUUUUUUGUAAUCUUAUUGUUUUACUUGGUAUAUUUUUUAUUUUUAUUUAGAGCAUAUGCUUACUUUCUUGUCGUUGGCA